CAUGAAAUGACAAUGAAGUUUGGAACAGACUUGGCGAAGAACAUGGAAACAUCUCUGAAUGAAAUGGCACCAAACAUCAUCAGGAGUGCAAAAGAAGGAAGUAAAAAAAAAACUCUACGCCAAUCUCAUUGGACUAGCAGAGGAAACCACAGAAGGUCUCGUUAGGAAUGCUGCACUCAUUUUAUUGCCAGCACUAUUUAAAGAAAACGCCAGCUUCCUCUACUGUGUAGAUAGUGAACCCAAAGGUGCUACACCAACCAUAGUGUUUAACGGCUCUCCUGAUCCCCUCAAGGCUGAAAGUGUCAGCAUUAUAAUGGACAAUGUGAACAUCAUAAGAGAGGCAGACAUUGACAUGACACAGGCUGUGGAAUGCCUAUUUGCAGUCUAUUUUCUCUUCAAUGUGCAAUACCCGGUUGACAUUAAACACACAAUGACUUUUAUUCAAAAAUAUAUGCUUAAACUUAGACAAGAGCACGGCAAAAGAACACCAAUACCUGUACUGAAAAUGUACAGUCAACUUGUGUAAAUUGUAGAGCUAUUUAAUAGUUGUUUUAAUUGUUCAUGUAUUGAUUUUUAUCUGCACUGUCAAAUAUCAAAAAUGAUUUAGUUUUUCCUCCUUUCAGAGAUAUAUGUAAAAGUGAAGUACUGUAUAUGUACAUAAACAAGCUUAUGUAUGUUUUUUGCAAAGUGAAAAUGCUUAAAUGAAAUAAUUCAAACUAAAUGGUUAAAUGUAAUUAAACAUCUUAAAUGUAAAAUGUGAAAUUUGCUGUCUAAUGCAGAGUAUACAGAGGUGCAAUUUUAAAUGACACUGAUAUUUUUGUAUAAUCAGUUGAAUAAAU